rfam:Planctopirus limnophila DSM 3776 chromosome, complete genome.
GAUCAAGUGGUGCAACUGGUAGACACGCGACGCUCAAAACGUCGUGCCCGAUUCGGGCUUGGGAGUUCGACUCUCCCCUUGAUCA